AUUGAACGCUGGCGGCAGGCCUAACACAUGCACGUCGAACGAGUGGCGGACGGGUGAGUAAUGUCUGGGAAACUGCCCGAUGGAGGGGGAUAACUACUGGAAACGGUAGCUAAUACCGCAUACCAUCGGAUGUGCCCAGAUGGGAUUGUCUAGGAGGUGGGGUAACGGCUCACCUAGGCGACGAUCCCUAACUGGUCUGAGAGGAUGACCAGCCACACUUGAACUGAGAUACGUUCCAUCCUCUUGCGGGAGGCAGCAGUGGGGAAUAUUGCACAAUGGGCGCACGCCUGAUGCAGCCAUGCCGCGUGUAUGAAGAAGGCCUUCGGGUUGUAAAGUACUUUCAGCGAGGAGGCGUUACCCGCAGAAGAAGCACCGGCUAACUCCGUGCCAGCAGCCGCGGUAAUUC
rnacentral:rRNA from 1 species